rnacentral:rRNA from 1 species
AUGGCGAGCAGGGGGACGGCGGACACGGGGAGCCCGAGCGCGCGUUUGGCGGCGGCGGGGGCGGGGGAGGAGGAGGCCGGGGCGGGGAAGGUGAAGCUGCUGUGCAGCUACGGCGGCCGGAUCGCGCCGAGGUCCGGGGACGGGGCGCUGCGCUACGUGGGCGGCCAGAUGCGCCUCAUCUCCGUGCCCCGCGCCGCCUCCUUCGGGGACCUCAUGCGCAAGGUCGAGGCCGUCGACGAGUCCGCCGGAGCCGCCGGCGGGGUGCUCGUCAAGUACCAGCUCCCCGGGGAGGACCUGGACUCGCUCGUCUCGGUCUCCUGCGCCGAGGACUACGACAACAUGCUGGAGGAGUACGAGAAGCUGGCCGCCGCCGCGCCCGACGGCUCCGCCAAGCUCCGGGUCUUCCUCUUCCCGGCCUCCGGGGGCGAGCCGUCCGGCUCCGGCUCGCACCUCGCCGUCGACGAGACCGGGCAGCGCUACAUCGACGCCAUCAACUGCGUCUCCGCGGACGCCGUCGCGGCCAUCCGCCGCAGGGAGAGCGUCGCCAGCGGCGGCUCGUCCGCGCACAACUCCGAGGCCUCCGAGCCCGCCGGCCUCGCUGAAGGUAUGUCGCCGCGGGCCGUGCCGCCCCCUUCCGUCCCGCCUGAAUAUUUGUAUUCAGCUGGGAGCCACACCAACCAUGCUAGUCCCUUUCCGCAGUCGCUAGGAUUUAGUGCUGUCGCAGCGUCAGCUCCGGCAAUGGGCAUUCCGGCGCACAACCCCUUGUUGCUUAGGUCGGAGCCACAACCGCUGCAGCCUCAUCAGGUUGCCUCCUAUGCGCCGCCGCAUCAACCGGCUCCGGUUGCCUCUUAUGCACAGCAUCAGCAGCCGGCUCAACAGGCUGCCUCUUAUGCGCCGCCACUUCAGCCUCAGGUUGCCUCUUAUGCGCCGCCGCAGCAGCCUCAAGUUGCUUCUUAUGCGCCGCCGCCGCAGCUGCCUCAGGUUACUGCUUAUACUUCGCAAAUGCCACAAUCAUACCUAGAGCCUCAACAAAUCCAGUACGUCAAUGCACAGCAAUUUGGUCUGCAUGGUGUAUCUCAGUCCGCUAAUCUGAUGCCUGCGCACAUGAGCCAGUAUGUGCCCAGUACUCUGGGAACAAACUCCAUGGCGACCACGGGUGCCCAAAUUGGUGCUUUGAGGCCUGUUUCUGCAGGUACAGAACGUGUUCUGGAGAAUCUGCAUUUCACAAGACCAAUGCAAACUGCAGUUGAUCCGAAUUACAGGGUACUGCAGCCACUUUCAGAGCUUCCUCCUCUGCCUCAUACGACUUUGCAGGCAAGUGAUGCUCAGAGAUAUGGCGUCCAGACGGUACUCACAAGCACAGCAAGCUCACCGGUGAUGAUGAGCUCGAGGGCAUUCCCAGUGGUGGUAAGCUCAGCUACUGUGCCAGCAGUGAGGUACGAUGAUUGCACGAUGUGCCAGAAAAUACUGCCGCAUGCCCAUUCGGAUAACAUGAUACAGGAGCAGGGAAAUCCUCGCGCACUGAAUUAUCCUGAUGUUAGUCCAGUGUUUUACAGCCUCCAUCAAGAGGAUGCAACCAAACAACAGGUUCCAGCUGCAGUUCCAGUAACAUCUGCUAAUUACAUAUCAGAACCCAGAGCUGAGAGCACAGCAGGGAUGAUGGCCCAGUUUGAUCCAAAACUUUCUGCCAGAAAUCCAGCAGUUCAAGCAGAACCAUCUCAAGAUGCAGGAGCGUUGGUUCAACCCACCAUGGUUACUGUACCUCUUUCCAGUAUACCUACUUCAAAUGGAGUUUUUGUAGGGCAGCCUCCGCACACGCUUGCUGAAGAUUUUCUCAUGUACCAACGUCAGCAGCAACACCCUUACAGUAUGCAGCCAUCACAAGUCCUGGCAAAUGGAGUCAGUAGCAAUCCACAAGGGAUUGAUGCUAGUGCAUUUAAGAAUUCAAAUCAUCCAGUAGCAGAACCAAUUGGAGAAUAUGCCCAUGAUGUUCCUCAUGAUUAUGUCAGAGCUAUCGAUGCUCGGAUGCAAGGAAUUCAGUUAGGUCCUAUUGCGCCUCCAGAAUCUAUUGUGCAAGGGAAGUCAGCUAUUCCCCAUGGUGCUGCUGGCGAUGGGAUAGUCGAGAAGCCACCUGUUAUUAUUGAUGGCAGUCCCAUAUACAAAUCUCAGGCUGGAGGUUAUCACAUGGGCACUAGCAAUGCUUUUCCUGUUCCUUCUUUUAUCCUAGAUGACAAUGUUGUGAGACAUACUGAACAGCCACCUCCCUCUCGAAAUGUUGGUGCCAACAACGUAUAUCCUGAGAUUGUCCAGCAGCCAAGUAUGUUACUCAAGAACAACCUUGGUGUGCCCAUUGAACAUCCUGUUCCGAGCGAAAGAUUUCUUGUGAGGCCUGCUUACUCUGGUGUUCAGUCUCCUGCUGGACCUCCUGCACAUCAUCCUGGGGAAAUGCUGAAUGGCAUGGUUUCCGCUCCCUAUAAUGUUAGUAGUCAAGUUGUAUUGCAGGCUGCAGCUAGUACUGAUUGUGUCGAAGCUACACGUGAACCAGCUUACACAGAAUCUCUUUUCUCAAACCAGGAUCCUUGGAAAGCAAUUGGAAAUGCUUCGGCAGUACCUCCAACAUCAAACAUGUUGGCUAAGGAACAUGUUCUUUCUGGAGAUCCAUAUGUGGAUGGCCAUGUUCCUGCAAUUACAAGUUCAAAUGCCGCCAUGUUAUUAGAAGAAGGCAAUCUUCCACUCAUUCAUGACCCUACUUUCAAGGAUAUAUAUCCAGAACCUGCACAAAUAAGCAAAGGAUAUGGAGAAGAAAUUGUCAAGCGUCAGUUACAAGCUGUCGCUGAAGGUGUGGCAGCAUCUGUUCUGCAGUCACCAUUUCCUGAAAAACCAACUGAAUUUUCUGGGGAUCACAAAGAUUUGCCUGGAGAUGUAUUUGAUCCAAAAAAUGAGGAUGCGCCGAGCAAACAGUCAGACAAAACAAGCCAAGGAGUUCCAGUUCUAGAUGACAUCGAUAACCUUCAGAUAAUAAAGAACAGUGAUCUUGAAGAAUUGCGUGAACUAGGUUCUGGAACCUUUGGUACUGUUUACCAUGGAAAAUGGAGAGGUUCUGAUGUCGCUAUAAAAAGGAUAAGCGAUCGGUGUUUUGUUGGAAAACCUUCUGAGGAACAGCGCAUGAAAACUGAUUUCUGGAAUGAAGCUUGCAAGCUUUCAUCGUUGCACCAUCCAAAUGUCGUUGCUUUUUACGGUGUUGUUCUGGAUGGACCAGGUGGAUCUGUUGCAACAGUCACUGAGUACAUGGCUAAUGGUUCGCUUCGACAAGCAUUACAAAGACAUGAAAAGAUAUUCGAUAGGCGUAGGCGUCUACUAAUUGUGAUGGAUGUUGCAUUUGGCAUGGAAUAUUUGCAUGGGAAGAACAUUGUGCACUUCGACUUGAAGAGUGAUAAUCUGCUCGUCAACCUAAGAGAUCCCCAACGCCCUAUAUGCAAGGUCGGUGAUUUGGGCUUAUCAAAGGUUAAAUGCCAGACACUAAUCUCUGGUGGGGUGCGAGGGACACUUCCCUGGAUGGCUCCUGAGCUGUUAAAUGGCAGCAGUAACCUUGUUUCUGAAAAGGUCGAUGUCUUCUCAUUCGGAAUAGUGAUGUGGGAACUUCUUACUGGUGAAGAGCCUUAUGCUGACUUGCAUUACGGCGCCAUCAUAGGUGGGAUCGUGAACAACACCCUGCGGCCUCUGGUGCCCGAGUCAUGCGACCCCCAGUGGAGAUCGCUGAUGGAGCAGUGCUGGUCGGCCGAGCCGACGGAGCGGCCGAGCUUCACGGAGGUCGUCAAGAGGCUACGGGCCAUGGCGACCUCCCCCACCAAGGCGCCGCCGCAGAAGUAG